UUUGAUUGCGACAAGCACACCACCACCACGAACUUUGACACUCGUUACGGGCGACCUAUCUUUGCGGAGUUAACCACGUUUCCGUUAAAGCAAUAACGUCGAAAUCGAUGGAUAGUGAAUUACAAUAAACCGAUUUCACCUUAGUCUUUAGGCCUCUAACAUUUUGAUAAUAAAUAUCCAUAAAUGCAGA